CAGUAGCCGCGGGAAUACGAAGGGUGCAAGCGUUACUCGGAAUUACUGGGCGUAAAGCGUGCGUAGGUGGUGGUUUAAGUCCGUUGUGAAAGCCCUGGGCUCAACCUGGGAGCUGCAUUGGUGACUGCAACGCUGGAGUGCGGCAGAGGGGGAUGGAAUUCCGCGUGUAGCAGUGAAAUGCGUAGAUAUGCGGAGGAACACCGAUGGCGAAGGCAAUCCCCUGGGCCUGCACUGACGCUCAUGCACGAAAGCGUGGGGAGCAAACAGGAUUAGAUACCCCGUAGUCCCUGUCUCUAUACAC
rnacentral:rRNA from 1 species